CCCCAAUCCCCCACACAUGCGGCCUGACCUCCUGGUUGUGGGCGAGUUCGGCAGCGCCGCCAUGGAGGUCGCGAGGUCGAGGGCGCCGCGUCCUGCCCCCAUUGAAGUUUCGGGCCAUCCAUCAACAAUUAGAUGUUGCCGGCAUGCGCCCCGACUCCAGGUCGCACCAGCCAGAGGUGUAUUGUGUUUGCUGCUCGGUCCAGAACGCUCUGCGGUCUCAUAUUCAGAACAUAACCUGAUCAACAUACAUCUGUACUCCAAAGGAAUGACCUCCAAGUACGAAUACUACAAGAUAGGCGAGAAGGGUUUCAACCUCAGGGUUGAAUUCCAAAUCAAGUUAUUUUAAAAGCCUUCCGUGAAUUAUGCUUGGCUAGCUGUACUACAUUACAAUAUUGCUUGCUCUGCUGAAGUACGAACUCUACACAGGAAAGCAGUAAGCAUCUAUUUUUCCGGUACCAUAACUAAGAGAGCAAGAACAAAGUCUCUAGGGUUAUAUGAUAUUCAUUAUGACAUUUGUGUUGCUUUGCUGGGUAUAACUUAAUUAGUGCAUCCUUCCUCUUUUCUAUAAACUUAUUUCUUCAGAUCGACAUGGUUUAUUUUCGUAUCUGAUUUGAUGCACACAAGAACUAUGCCUAUGGUUUGUGCAGGAAGGGCCUGAAGUAGUUGCAAUUGAGUCACUUGACAUACAUGUGUACAAGUUUGAUCCCAGACGGUGGGGAGAUUUGGCGUGCUCAGCGGUGUGCCAUUGGAAAAGAUUCAGACCGGCUCUGCUGGAGGUUUUAAUGCUAUGUGCAGACAUGGUCUUUUGACUUUCUAAAUUUGGACAAGUUUUUGUAGCGGAGGGAUUCACUGAGAGUUGCGGCGGUGCGUGCGGAUUUGGGUGGCGGCUGUUCUUUCAGGCGGUCACUUCCAAGGAAAUAGUAAAAGGUGAACAACAAGGGUGCGAGGGGCUCUGAGGUCUGCGCGUGUAGACCUUAUAUAAUUACAUGCACCAGGCACAGAGGCCUCUUGCUGCUUAUCAAAUCAUCGUUAUCUGGUAUAUAUGGAGGCCUUCCACCUAUACAUCAAACGCUAAUCAGGGGUCAAAUUGACGUCUUUGCAGUCAUCUGGUAGCAAAUGAAUAACAAUUGUUUUCUCUGUUGUUUUAGCUCAAGGACAUGACCAACUGUGGUUUACUUUUGGUAUAUGGUUAAUAACGAUUGGUUUGGUAAUACUGAUGUACCCGUUGUAAAUGCAAACAUGCUUUUUUAGACUAUCUUUUAUGCCAGAACAGAUACUUUUUU